ACGAACGCUGGCGGCAGGCUUAACACAUGCAAGUCGAGCGCCCCGCAAGGGGAGCGGCAGACGGGUGAGUAACGCGUGGGAACGUACCUUUUGGUUCGGAACAACUCCGGGAAACUGGAGCUAAUACCGGAUAAGCCCUAACGGGGAAAGAUUUAUCGCCGAAAGAUCGGCCCGCGUCUGAUUAGCUAGUUGGUGAGGUAACGGCUCACCAAGGCGACGAUCAGUAGCUGGUCUGAGAGGAUGAUCAGCCACACUGGGACUGAGACACGGCCCAGACUCCUACGGGAGGCAGCAGUGGGGAAUAUUGGACAAUGGGCGCAAGCCUGAUCCAGCCAUGCCGCGUGAGUGAUGAAGGCCUUAGGGUUGUAAAGCUCUUUUGCCCGGGAAGAUAAUGACUGUACCGGAAGAAUAAGCCCCGGCUAACUUCGUG
rnacentral:rRNA from 1 species